UACAGAGGGUGCAAGCGUUAAUCGGAAUUACUGGGCGUAAAGCGUGCGUAGACGGUUAUGUAAGUCGGGUGUGAAAGCCCCGGGCUCAACCUGGGAACUGCCUUUGUGACUGCAUGACUAGAGUACGGUAGAGGGGGAUGGAAUUCCGCGUGUAGCAGUGAAAUGCGUAGAUAUGCGGAGAACACCGAUGGCGAAGGCAAUCCCCUGGACCUGUACUGACGCUCAUGCACGAAAGCGUGGGGAGCAAACAGG
rnacentral:rRNA from 1 species